CCUACGGGGUGCAGCAGGCGCGAAAACUUUACAAUGCGGGCAACCGUGAUAAGGAAACCCCGAGUGCCACCACAGGGUGGCUGUCCACCAGUGUAAAAAACUGGUGAAGAAAGGGCCGGGCAAGACCGGUGCCAGCCGCCGCGGUAAUACCGGCGGCUCGAGUGGUGGCCGCUUUUACUGGGCUUAAAGGGUCCGUAGCUUGAUUCACAAGUCCCUUGAGAAAUCCAUCGGCUUAACUGAUGGGCGUUCAGGGGAUACUGUGGUUCUAGGGACCGGGAGAGGUGAGAGGUACUGCCGGGGUAGGAGUGAAAUCCUGUAAUCCCGGUGGGACGACCUAUGGCGAAGGCAUCUCACCAGAACGGCUCCGACAGUGAGGGACGAAAGCUGGGGGAGCAAACCGGAUUAGAUACCCGCGUAGUCC
rnacentral:rRNA from 1 species